rnacentral:misc_RNA from 1 species
UGUUCGAGCGUCAUUAUAACCCCGUCAAGCUCAGCUUGGUGUUGGGGCCUGCUGUUUGGCAGCCCUUAAAAUCAGUGGCGGUGCAUCUGGCUCUAAGCGUAGUAAUUCUUCUCGCUAUGGAGACCUGGUGGAUGCUUGCCAUCAACCCCCAAUUUUCUAUGGUUGACCUCGGAUCAGGUAGGGAUACCCGCUGAACUUAA